rnacentral:rRNA from 1 species
CCUACGGGUGGCAGCAGUGGGGAAUAUUGCGCAAUGGGCGAAAGCCUGACGCAGCGACGCCGCGUGAGGGAUGAAGGUCUUCGGAUCGUAAACCUCUGUCAGCAGGGAAGAACGGUCACUGUGCUAAUCAGCAGUGAAUUGACGGUACCUGCACAGGAAGCACCGGCUAACUCCGUACCAGCAGCCGCGGUAAUACGUAGGGUGCGAGCGUUAAUCGGAAUUACUGGGCGUAAAGCGCGCGUAGGCGGUUUGUCAAGUCAAGUGUGAAAUCCCCGGGCUCAACGUGGGAACUGCCUUUGAAACUGGCAAACUUGAGUGUGUUAGAGGAGAGCGGAAUUCCAGGUGUAGGAGUGAAAUCCGUAGAUAUCUGGAGGAACAUCAGUGGCGAAGGCGACUAUCUGGCACAUAACUGACGCUGAGGAGCGAAAGCGUGGGUAGCAAACAGGAUUAGAUACCCUAGUAGUC